rnacentral:rRNA from 1 species
AGAUUGAACGCUAGCGGGAUGCUUUACACAUGCAAGUCGAACGGCAGCGCGGACUUCGGUCUGGCGGCGAGUGGCGAACGGGUGAGUAAUAUAUCGGAACGUGCCCAGUAGCGGGGGAUAACUACGCGAAAGCGUGGCUAAUACCGCAUACGCCCUACGGGGGAAAGGGGGGGAUCGCAAGACCUCUCACUAUUGGGGCGGCCGAUAUCAGAUUAGCUAGUUGGUGAGGUAAAGGCUCACCAAGGCGACGAUCUGUAGCUGGUUUGAGAGGACGACCAGCCACACUGGGACUGAGACACGGCCCAGACUCCUACGGGAGGCAGCAGUGGGGAAUUUGGACAAUGGGGGAAACCUGAUCCAGCCAUCCCGCGUGUGCGAUGAAGGCCUUCGGGUUGUAAGCACUUUUGGCGAGGAAGAACGGCGUUGACUAAUAUUCAGCGUCACUGACGGUACUGCAGAAUAAGCACCGGCUAACGUACGUGCCAGCAGCCG